rnacentral:rRNA from 1 species
GACGAUAGGGUGCAAAGGCGUUUAAAUCGGAAUUUACCGUGGGUCGUUGAAAGCCGUGAGCGCAGGCGGGUUAUUGUUAAGACAGACUGUGAAAAUGCCCGGGCCUUUAACCGUGGGAACUGCAUUUGUGGACGUGGCUAUGGCUAGGAGUUUGGCGAGACGGGGGGGUGAGAAAUUCCAACUGUAGCAGUGAAAGUGACGUCAAGGAGAAGUGUGGAGGGAACACCGAUGGG